GUGUCCGGGGAGAACCGCCGCUCCGGAGCCCACAGCGUGCCCGGCCCUGGUCGCGCCGGUCUCCGCCUCGACGACUCGGUCACAGCACUUUCUCUUCAUAUGUCCCUCGGGUCCUCGGGGUCCCUCCCCGCCUCUUCGCGCCCAGAAAGCUGGAUUUCGCAGAUGCCCCGCUCAAAGGAGAACAUUUUUUUUUUUCGGGAAUGAAGUCGCUUCUCCGUGUUGGCCGUAGUCGAUGGAUGGGAGGGGCUAGAAGUCACUUGGCGUCUUGAAAAGGUUUGUUACUGUUGUUAAAAUCGUCCGCUCUUCAAAGUUUAAGGGAAAUCACUUCCUGCGAACCUGGGACUUUCGGAUUGCUUCUGAGCUGGAAGAAUUUGUUUUUUUAGGUGCCUCCACAUUUUGAAAUGAAAGGAUUUACUUGCAUUAAUACCUAACAGUGAAAGCUGCAGCCGGGAUUGCCUGGCAGCAGAUGUCUCCAUGGAAAGUAGCACUGGUGGAAGCGUGGGCAGAGGGCAGAGCUGGAAACCACCUCCCGCUCACUAGCUUUGUGGCUGCAGUCAGGCUGCUUCAUCUGUCAGAACCUCUGUUUUAUAAAAAGUGAAUAAAUGUGAUUGCAUGAUCACUAAGGUCCCUUUGAACUUGACGCUUCUGCCUUCCGUAUUCAAGAAACUUUUCAAAAUCACACUGAAACCAUUACAAUUAAAAUAGCUUCUAAUGUUGACCCUCCAGAUGUAGAAGAGUGUCUCUCGUAUACAUGAAUAUAGUGCCUGUAGACUUGUACCAUUUAUUCCCUCAUCUCCCGCACAGACGUCUGGAAAUCUGACUAUAAGGUUUCAGCUAAAGUAAACUCUUCAUCUGUGUGAA